GAUGAACGCUAGCGGCAGGCUUAAUACAUGCAAGUCGAGGGGCAGCAAGGGUAGCAAUACCUGUUGGCGACCGGCAAACGGGUGCGGAACACGUACAGAACCUUCCUUUAAGCGGGGGAUAGCCCAUAGAAAUGUGGAUUAAUACCCAUAGUAAUAUUGUCUGGCAUCAGAUGAUAUUUAAAGAUUUAUCACUUAAAGAUGGCUGUGCGGCUGAUUAGGAGUUGGUGUGGGUAACGGCCCACCAAGCCAGCGAUCAGUAACUGGUGUGAGAGCACGACCAGUCACACGGGCACUGAGACACGGGCCC
rnacentral:rRNA from 1 species